UACGUAGGGUGCAAGCGUUGUCCGGAGUUAUUGGGCGUAAAGAGCUCGUAGGCGGUCUGUCACGUCGGCUGUGAAAUCCCGAGGCUCAACCUCGGGUCUGCAGUCGAUACGGGCAAACUAGAGUAUUGCAGGGGAGACUGGAAUUCCUGGUGUAGCGGUGAAAUGCGCAGAUAUCAGGAGGAACACCGGUGGCGAAGGCGGGUCUCUGGGCAAUAACUGACGCUGAGGAGCGAAAGCGUGGGGAGCGAACAGG
rnacentral:rRNA from 1 species